AUUCUUUUAGUAUAUCGUACAAGUGACUUCCAAUCACUAAGUCUCAGAACCCCUGAGGAAGAAUA
rnacentral:tRNA from 1 species